UGGGACGUGGCCAAGCGGUACGGCGCCUCGCUCUGGACGAGGAGAUCGUAGGUUCGAAUCCUACCGUCCCAGCCA
rnacentral:tRNA from 1 species